UAAACCAACAAUAGAGAGGCUUCAGCCAGCCCCGCACCCCAGCUCCCCAGCCUAGGAUCCCAGACCUGUACCAUCUUGCCCUGGUCAAAAGUGGCAUCUAUGUGCCCGCUGAGCAGAAAUGGAAGUGACAAAAUACCAAAAGAAGCAAUGAUCCCUGUAUUUUUGCACUCACCAGAAGGAGGAAAUACUGGAAAUCUAGACUAUCCAGAUGAGGAGCAUGCAAUAAACUGAGGGAG